UACGUAGGGUGCAAGCGUUAAUCGGAAUUACUGGGCGUAAAGCGUGCGCAGGCGGUUUUGUAAGUCUGACGUGAAAUCCCCGGGCUCAACCUGGGAAUUGCGUUGGAGACUGCAAGGCUGGAGUCUGGCAGAGGGGGGGUAGAAUUCCACGUGUAGCAGUGAAAAUGCGUAGAUAUCAGGAGGAACACCGGUGGCGAAGGCGGCUACCUGGACAGAAACUGACGCUGAGGCACGAAAGCUAGGGGAGCAAACAGG
rnacentral:rRNA from 1 species